CACUCUGAAGGCGCCAGUGUCACGGCUUCCCGGCUCGGUGCCGCUGUUUGCCCCCUGAGGCACGGGGGGGGGGAGGGAGAAGCGCCGUCUCCGCUUCAGGCGGGUGUGUGUUUGUGGGUCAGCGAGCGAAUCCAGGGAAAGCGGCCACCAAAGCCGAAGUUCCCUUUCAGGGUGGUGCUGAGACCACCCGAGGCUAGGCUCCAGGCGUUUCGACGCGAGAAAACUUGCCCGAGAAGCGUGGCUGCGGGUUCUGCACUCUGCAGAGACAGCCUCUUCCGUGUUAUAACUAUGACUGACUCGGUGUGUUCUCGAAGCUGAGCUUCUGACUCGAAAACGCGCGCGCGUGUGUGUGCGCACGCGCGCAAAGAGAUAUAAGAAUUCCCCUGGGAAAUCAGACCCUGCAUUUGCCCACAGGCCAUCCAAAUGCCCACUGGAAGCCCGCUGCCCACCACUAUCAAGUCAUGAAAACAGUAGCCCGCCUACACGGGUUGCCCUUCAGGCACCUGGUAUUCUGCCUCUGAACAUGGAGGAACUCUGGGUGACAUAUAUGGUCUCCCACAUUUUAGUCUCAAACUUGAAAGCGGGACACUCAAAAACAUUCAAAAACCUGAUUCCCACAUGCACCCCGAAGAAAAAGAUCCCAUCAAGUCAUCUUCAGGGAGGAAGAGAAAGCCUGAGAUACUUUCCCUCACUCUCCUUUCUUUCCUCCUCAUCUUCCUCUGCACCAUUUCGACCCUCUUUCUCUAAAACGCCGAGAACCCUAUGCUACCCCGCAAAGAGGAGACUCGGAGGCAGGGAAAUAUUUCUGAGCUGCUUUGAAAAAGGGAGAUGUGAGAGCUGGCAAACUGAGAAGAGGCUGGUAGGAGCUCCUGCUCCUUAAGCCAAGACAAUUUAAAAAGAGAGAAAGAGGGGAACAGUAAGUAUUUGGAAAAAGAAAAGGAAAAGGGGCAAGGGCUUGUCAAGAAGGACUUGGGAGAAACUUCUGCCCUCUCCCUCCUCCUAUAUACAAACUUCCCUCAAAAAGUUAUAUAAAAAUAUCUGAUACAUAAGUGACCAGUUAUGUU